AUUGAACGCUGGCGGCAUGCCUUACACAUGCAAGUCGAACGGUAACGGGCCUUCGGGUGCCGACGAGUGGCGAACGGGUGAGUAAUACAUCGGAACGUGCCCGAUCGUGGGGGAUAACGAGGCGAAAGCUUUGCUAAUACCGCAUACGAUCUACGGAUGAAAGCAGGGGACCGCAAGGCCUUGCGCGGACGGAGCGGCCGAUGGCAGAUUAGGUAGUUGGUGGGAUAAAAGCUUACCAAGCCGACGAUCUGUAGCUGGUCUGAGAGGAUGAUCAGCCACACUGGGACUGAGACACGGCCCAGACUCCUACGGGAGGCAGCAGUGGGGAAUUUUGGACAAUGGGCGCAAGCCUGAUUCAGCCAUGCCGCGUGCAGGAUGAAGGCCUUCGGGUUGUAAACUGCUUUUGUACGGAACGAAAAGCCUUCUUUUAAUACAGGAGGGUCAUGACGGUACCGUAAGAAUAAGCACCGGCUAACUACGUG
rnacentral:rRNA from 1 species